ACAUGCCUACAACAUAGCAUUAAUGCAUUGGAUCCCAUUAGAACUUCAUAGUUAAGCGUACCAGGGCUAGAGUAGUAUUGGGAAGGGUGAGUUUCCAGGAAUUCCUAGAGUCUUACAUGCC
rnacentral:rRNA from 1 species